rnacentral:lncRNA from 1 species
GGAAUCAAAUAGUUUAAGCAUUUCAAGACAAGUCUAAACGUCACAAUCCAAAACAAACACCAAUUCUAAUAGUUUAAGUCUAAAUGUCACAAUCAUAAAUAAGAACCAACCACUACAAUCUAAUCAUCUGAUUCACUAUCUUCCCCAUCCUCAAAUACUUGCGGCAUAUGCUUCUUGACUAAUGCUUCAAACUUGACAAAUUUGGCAU